UACGUAGGGACCAAGCGUUGUUCGGAUUUACUGGGCGUAAAGGGCGCGUAGGCGGCCACGACAAGUCACUUGUGAAAUCUCCGGGCUUAACUCGGAACGGUCAAGUGAUACUGUCGGGCUAGAGUACAGAAGGGGCAACUGGAAUUCUCGGUGUAGCGGUGAAAUGCGUAGAUAUCGAGAGGAACACCUGCGGCGAAGGCGGGUUGCUGGGCUGAUACUGACGCUGAUGCGCGAAAGCCAGGGGAGCGAACGGG
rnacentral:rRNA from 1 species